rnacentral:rRNA from 1 species
GAUGAACGCUGGCGGCGUGCCUAAUACAUGCAAGUCGAGCGAAUGGAUUAAGAGCUUGCUCUUAUGAAGUUAGCGGCGGACGGGUGAGUAACACGUGGGUAACCUGCCCAUAAGACUGGGAUAACUCCGGGAAACCGGGGCUAAUACCGGAUAACAUUUUGAACCGCAUGGUUCGAAAUUGAAAGGCGGCUUCGGCUGCCACUUAUGGAUGGACCCGCGUCGCAUUAGCUAGUUGGUGAGGUAACGGCUCACCAAGGCAACGAUGCGUAGCCGACCUGAGAGGGUGAUCGGCCACACUGGGACUGAGACACGGCCCAGACUCCUACGGGAGGCAGCAGUAGGGAAUCUUCCGCAAUGGACGAAAGUCUGACGGAGCAACGCCGCGUGAGUGAUGAAGGCUUUCGGGUCGUAAAACUCUGUUGUUAGGGAAGAACAAGUGCUAGUUGAAUAAGCUGGCGCCUUGACGGUACCUAACCAGAAAGCCACGGCUAACUACGUGCCAGCAGCCGCCGUAA